rnacentral:tRNA from 1 species
GGUUGCGGAAUUGGUAUACGCGCUAGCUUCAGGUGUUAGUGUCCUUACGGACGUGGGGGUUCAAGUCCCCCCCCUCGCACCA